rnacentral:rRNA from 1 species
GAAUUUUAUAUAAAUUAGUGGAAAUAAAUUAGGAAAAAAAUUAAUUAAUUUAUAUUUUAUUGGGAGGAUAAAUAAAUUAAAGAAACUUUAAAGAAUUAGGACAUAAAUUUAUGAGUUAAAUAAUGAGAAGAAUGAUUUAAAGAAUUAGAGUAGAAUUAAUUACCUUAGGGAUAACAGCGUUAUAUUUUUGGAGAGAUCUUAUUAAUAAAAAUGAUUGC